rnacentral:rRNA from 1 species
AGUGAACGCUGGCGGUGGGCCUAACACAUGCAAGUCGAACGGCAGCACAGUAAGAGCUUGCUCUUACGGGUGGCGAGUGGCGGACGGGUGAGGAAUACAUCGGAAUCUACUUUUUCGUGGGGGAUAACGUAGGGAAACUUACGCUAAUACCGCAUACGACCUACGGGUGAAAGCAGGGGAUCUUCGGACCUUGCGCGAUUGAAUGAGCCGAUGUCGGAUUAGCUAGUUGGCGGGGUAAAGGCCCACCAAGGCGACGAUCCGUAGCUGGUCUGAGAGGAUGAUCAGCCACACUGGAACUGAGACACGGUCCAGACUCCUACGGGAGGCAGCAGUGGGGAAUAUUGGACAAUGGGCGCAAGCCUGAUCCAGCCAUACCGCGUGGGUAAAGAAGGCCUUCGGGUUGUAAAGCCCUUUUGUUGGGAAAGAAAAGCAGCAGGUUAAUACCCCGCUGUUCUGACGGUACCCAAAGAAUAAGCACCGGCUAACUUCGUG